rnacentral:tRNA from 1 species
GCCUGGGUGGCUCAGUCGGUUGAGCAUCUGACUUCGGAUCGGGUCAUGACCUCACAGUUCGUGGGUUUGAUCCCCACGUCAGGCU